rnacentral:lncRNA from 1 species
GGUAAUUAGAUUUUUUGGGGAUCAAAGAGAUGAAGGAAUAAUUAAGCUGAGCAAUGUCACACUCACCAACAUAAAAUGCUAUGAACAACUUGCUAAUGUCAAAGCGAAUACACUCCCAAUAUCUCUAUUAGAAGGAAAUUGGGAAUCCAUCUGGAUCGGAUGAUUUAUUUUUUGCUAAACAAAAUACUACUAACCUGAUUUCUUCAGCUGAGAAGGGUGAGUCAAGAGAUGCCAAAUCUGGAGGG